GUCAAAUUCACGUCGAUAUAACUGAUUAAAUUGAGUGGAACUCUCAAGGAUCGUUUUAUCCGUCUGUCUUCCACGAUGGACGUCAAAUCCAAGAAUGGAAUGUAGGGAAAAGUGAAGGAUAAUGUAAAUGUCAGUUUCUCAGUAAAGAAAGGAAAGAGAGAGAGAGAGUAAACUCAAGAGGAAAAAAUCUGCGCAAAACAUGCAGAGCCCAAAGUCUGUCGACGUGAAUGAGCUUACUAGAAUAACCAGAACAAAAACUUGCGCAAUGGCUGUCGCGAGGUCGAAGCAGAAACGAAAAAUUCGGAUAAAAAUUAUACACAGAUAUUAGCUCGUAAGUCGCUCGCGAAAGCUAAGAAGAUAGCUCGCGCUGCGGAGGAGAAGAAGAAAUACAAUGAAGAAUCCAAAGAGAACAAGGAGCAAAUGCCAGAGCGAAUCAGUAAACUUAUUAAAUAUGGUAUACUGAAUGCAAUGCCACAAUUAAAAACAACACCUCUGAACAAACCGAAACUCGUAACUCCAAUGUCUGCAACUCGUCUUCAAACUUCGUCAAGCACACAAAAUCUUGUAAAUCAUGGAAAAACUUUAACCGCCUCGCACGCGAAUAUCGUGACUACUAUGGAGUCAUUUGUUCAAAUUCCAAAGACUGCCAGUAAAAACAACUCUGCUGACAAAUUAGAAGAUAAAAGACGACACGAGGAAAACGCGAUGAAGAAGAGAAAGGAAGCUUGAGAUUACUGAUGGAGGGAAGGAGAAGAAAGCGAGAAAAGAAGAACAAGUUAGCCAGAGAAACUAAGGAGAAGCAGGAACGACAAAAGGCCGAAAAAGAAAGAGAAGAGGAAGCGGAACGUUUCGCCGGAAAAAAGAGAAUAUGAAAUAAAUUUUUCUAUCAGCAACUUUAAGCCAUAGUAAUUUGUAAAAAUAUGGUGAAAUAUAUACAUUUUUCUUUUUUUAUCCCAUAUAUGAAAUGCACAUAUGUAUUCAAUG